UUAAGCGACUAAGCGUACACGGUGGAUGCCCUGGCAGUCAGAGGCGAUGAAGGACGUGCUAAUCUGCGAUAAGCGUCGGUAAGGUGAUAUGAACCGUUAUAACCGGCGAUUUCCGAAUGGGGAAACCCAGUGUGUUUCGACACACUAUCAUUAACUGAAUCCAUAGGUUAAUGAGGCGAACCGGGGGAACUGAAACAUCUAAGUACCCCGAGGAAAAGAAAUCAACCGAGAUUCCCCCAGUAGCGGCGAGCGAACGGGGAGNAGCCCAGAGCCUGAAUCAGUGUGUGUGUUAGUGGAAGCGUCUGGAAAGGCGCGCGAUACAGGGUGACAGCCCCGUACACAAAAAUGCACAUAUUGUGAGCUCGAUGAGUAGGGCGGGACACGUGGUAUCCUGUCUGAAUAUGGGGGGACCAUCCUCCAAGGCUAAAUACUCCUGACUGACCGAUAGUGAACCAGUACCGUGAGGGAAAGGCGAAAAGAACCCCGGCGAGGGGAGUGAAAAAGAACCUGAAACCGUGUACGUACAAGCAGUGGGAGCCUCUUUUAUGGGGUGACUGCGUACCUUUUGUAUAAUGGGUCAGCGACUUAUAUUCUGUAGCAAGGUUAACCGAAUAGGGGAGCCGAAGGGAAACCGAGUCUUAACUGGGCGUUAAGUUGCAGGGUAUAGACCCGAAACCCGGUGAUCUAGCCAUGGGCAGGUUGAAGGUUGGGUAACACUAACUGGAGGACCGAACCGACUAAUGUUGAAAAAUUAGCGGAUGACUUGUGGCUGGGGGUGAAAGGCCAAUCAAACCGGGAGAUAGCUGGUUCUCCCCGAAAGCUAUUUAGGUAGCGCCUCGUGAANNNNNNNNNNNNNNNNNNNNUCAUCUCCGGGGGUAGAGCACUGUUUCGGCAAGGGGGUCAUCCCGACUUACCAACCCGAUGCAAACUGCGAAUACCGGAGAAUGUUAUCACGGGAGACACACGGCGGGUGCUAACGUCCGUCGUGAAGAGGGAAACAACCCAGACCGCCAGCUAAGGUCCCAAAGUCAUGGUUAAGUGGGAAACGAUGUGGGAAGGCCCAGACAGCCAGGAUGUUGGCUUAGAAGCAGCCAUCAUUUAAAGAAAGCGUAAUAGCUCACUGGUCGAGUCGGCCUGCGCGGAAGAUGUAACGGGGCUAAACCAUGCACCGAAGCUGCGGCAGCGACACUAUGUGUUGUUGGGUAGGGGAGCGUUCUGUAAGCCUGUGAAGGUGUNNNNNNNNNAUGCUGGAGGUAUCAGAAGUGCGAAUGCUGACAUAAGUAACGAUAAAGCGGGUGAAAAGCCCGCUCGCCGGAAGACCAAGGGUUCCUGUCCAACGUUAAUCGGGGCAGGGUGAGUCGACCCCUAAGGCGAGGCCGAAAGGCGUAGUCGAUGGGAAACAGGUUAAUAUUCCUGUACUUGGUGUUACUGCGAAGGGGGGACGGAGAAGGCUAUGUUGGCCGGGCGACGGUUGUCCCGGUUUAAGCGUGUAGGCUGGUUUUCCAGGCAAAUCCGGAAAAUCAAGGCUGAGGCGUGAUGACGAGGCACUACGGUGCUGAAGCAACAAAUGCCCUGCUUCCAGGAAAAGCCUCUAAGCAUCAGGUAACAUCAAAUCGUACCCCAAACCGACACAGGUGGUCAGGUAGAGAAUACCAAGGCGCUUGAGAGAACUCGGGUGAAGGAACUAGGCAAAAUGGUGCCGUAACUUCGGGAGAAGGCACGCUGAUAUGUAGGUGAAGUCCCUCGCGGAUGGAGCUGAAAUCAGUCGAAGAUACCAGCUGGCUGCAACUGUUUAUUAAAAACACAGCACUGUGCAAACACGAAAGUGGACGUAUACGGUGUGACGCCUGCCCGGUGCCGGAAGGUUAAUUGAUGGGGUUAGCGCAAGCGAAGCUCUUGAUCGAAGCCCCGGUAAACGGCGGCCGUAACUAUAACGGUCCUAAGGUAGCGAAAUUCCUUGUCGGGUAAGUUCCGACCUGCACGAAUGGCGUAAUGAUGGCCAGGCUGUCUCCACCCGAGACUCAGUGAAAUUGAACUCGCUGUGAAGAUGCAGUGUACCCGCGGCAAGACGGAAAGACCCCGUGAACCUUUACUAUAGCUUGACACUGAACAUUGAGCCUUGAUGUGUAGGAUAGGUGGGAGGCUUAGAAGUGUGGACGCCAGUCUGCAUGGAGCCGACCUUGAAAUACCACCCUUUAAUGUUUGAUGUUCUAACGUGGACCCGUGAUCCGGGUUGCGGACAGUGUCUGGUGGGUAGUUUGACUGGGGCGGUCUCCUCCUAAAGAGUAACGGAGGAGCACGAAGGUUGGCUAAUCCUGGUCGGACAUCAGGAGGUUAGUGCAAUGGCAUAAGCCAGCUUGACUGCGAGCGUGACGGCGCGAGCAGGUGCGAAAGCAGGUCAUAGUGAUCCGGUGGUUCUGAAUGGAAGGGCCAUCGCUCAACGGAUAAAAGGUACUCCGGGGAUAACAGGCUGAUACCGCCCAAGAGUUCAUAUCGACGGCGGUGUUUGGCACCUCGAUGUCGGCUCAUCACAUCCUGGGGCUGAAGUAGGUCCCAAGGGUAUGGCUGUUCGCCAUUUAAAGUGGUACGCGAGCUGGGUUUAGAACGUCGUGAGACAGUUCGGUCCCUAUCUGCCGUGGGCGCUGGAGAACUGAGGGGGGCUGCUCCUAGUACGAGAGGACCGGAGUGGACGCAUCACUGGUGUUCGGGUUGUCAUGCCAAUGGCACUGCCCGGUAGCUAAAUGCGGAAGAGAUAAGUGCUGAAAGCAUCUAAGCACGAAACUUGCCCCGAGAUGAGUUCUCCCUGACNGUCCUGAAGGAACGUUGAAGACGACGACGUUGAUAGGCCGGGUGUGUAAGCGCAGCGAUGCGUUGAGCUAACCGGUACUAAUGAACCGUGAGGCUUAACCUU
rnacentral:rRNA from 1 species